rnacentral:rRNA from 1 species
GAUGAACGCUGGCGGCGUGCCUAAUACAUGCAAGUCGAGCGAAAAGACGAUGAGCUUGCUCCUCUCACGUUAGCGGAGGACGGGUGAGUAACACGAGGAUCACCUACCUAUAAGACUGGGAUCACUUCGGGAAACCGGAGCUAAUCCCGGAUAAUCUCUUGAACCGCAUGGUUGAAUAGUGAAAGACGGCUUUGCUGUCACUUCUCGAUGGAUCUGCGCCGCUUUAGAUAGUUGGUAAGGUAACGGGUUACCAAGGCGACGAUGCGUAGCCGAGGUGAGAGGGUGGUAGGCCGCCCUGGAAGUGAGACGCGGUCCAUGGUCCUACGGGAGGCAGCAGUAGGGAAUCGGACGCAGUGGGCGAAAGCCUGGCGGAGCGACGCCGCGUGAGUGAUGGAGGUCUUCGGAGCGUAAAACUCUCUUAUGGGGGAAGAACAGAUGUGUAAUUAAAUAUGCCCGGCUUGACGGUACUGAAUCAGAAAGCCACGGCUAACUACGUG